rnacentral:rRNA from 1 species
AUUGAACGCUGGCGGCAUGCCUUACACACGCAAGUCGAACGGUAACGGGUCCUUCGGGAUGCCGACGAGUGGCGAACGGGUGAGUAAUAUAUCGGAACGUGCCCAGUAGUGGGGGAUAACUGCUCGAAAGAGCAGCUAAUACCGCAUACGACCUGAGGGUGAAAGGGGGGGAUCGCAAGACCUCUCGCUAUUGGAGCGGCCGAUAUCAGAUUAGCUAGUUGGUGGGGUAAAGGCCUACCAAGGCAACGAUCUGUAGUUGGUCUGAGAGGACGACCAGCCACACUGGGACUGAGACACGGCCCAGACUCCUACGGGAGGCAGCAGUGGGGAAUUUUGGACAAUGGGCGCAAGCCUGAUCCAGCAAUGCCGCGUGCAGGAAGAAGGCCUUCGGGUUGUAAACUGCUUUUGUCAGGGAAGAAAUCUUCUGGGCUAAUACCCCGGGAGGAUGACGGUACCUGAAGAAUAAGCACCGGCUAACUACGUGCCAGCAGCCGCGGUAAUACGUAGGGUGCGAGCGUUAAUCGGAAUUACUGGGCGUAAAGCGUGCGCAGGCGGCUUUGCAAGACAGAUGUGAAAUCCCCGGGUUCAACCUGGGAGCUGCAUUUGUGACUGCAAGGCUAGAGUACGGCAGAGGGGGAUGGAAUUCCGCGUGUAGCAGUGAAAUGCGUAGAUAUGCGGAGGAACACCAAUGGCGAAGGCAAUCCCCUGGGCCUGUACUGACGCUCAUGCACGAAAGCGUGGGGAGCAAACAGGAUUAGAUACCCUGGUAGUCCACGCCCUAAACGAUGUCAACUGGUUGUUGGACGGCUUGCUGUUCAGUAACGAAGCUAACGCGUGAAGUUGACCGCCUGGGGAGUACGGCCGCAAGGUUGAAACUCAAAGGGAUUGACGGGGACCCGCACAAGCGGUGGAUGAUGUGGUUUAAUUCGAUGCAACGCGAAAAACCUUACCUACCCUUGACAUGUCAAGAAUUCUGCAGAGAUGUGGAAGUGCUCGAAAGAGAACUUGAACACAGGUGCCGCAUGGCCGUCGUCAGCUCGUGUCGUGAGAUGUUGGGUUAAGUCCCGCAACGAGCGCAACCCUUGUCAUUAGUUGCUACGCAAGAGCACUCUAAUGAGACUGCCGGUGACAAACCGGAGGAAGGUGGGGAUGACGUCAGGUCCUCAUAGCCCUUAUGGGUAGGGCUACACACGUCAUACAAUGGCCGGUACAGAGGGCUGCCAACCCGCGAGGGGGAGCCAAUCCCAGAAAACCGGUCGUAGUCCGGAUCGUAGUCUGCAACUCGACUGCGUGAAGUCGGAAUCGCUAGUAAUCGCGGAUCAGCUUGCCGCGGUGAAUACGUUCCCGGGUCU